GAUGAACGCUGGCGGCGUGCUUAACACAUGCAAGUCGAACGGUGAGGGCGGAUCUUGCUCUUCUGGAUCAGUGGCGAACGGGUGAGGAACACGUGAGCAAUCUGCCCCUGACUCUGGGAUAAGCCCUGGAAACGGCGACUAACACUGGAUACGAUCUGCGAAGGCAUCUUCAGCAGCUGGAAAUAAGUUCGGUCAGGGAUGAGCUGGCGGCCUAUCAGAUUGUUGGUGAGGUAAUGGCUCACCAAGGCAGCGACGGGUAGCCGGGCUGAGAGGGGAACCGGCCACACUGGGAGUGAGAUACGGCACAGACUCUAACGGGAGGGGAGGGUGGAGAAUAUUACACAAGGGGCGAAAGCCAGAUGCAGCAAGGCCGGGUGAGGGAGGACGGACUGCGGGUUGUAAGCAUCUUUUAGCAGGGAAGAAGGGAGAGGGACGGUACCGGUAGAAACAGCGCCGGCUAACUACGUG
rnacentral:rRNA from 1 species